GACAGAGGGUGCAAACGUUGUUCGGAAUUACUGGGCAUAAAGCGCACGUAGGUGGUCCGCUAAGUCGCGUGUGAAAUCCCCCGGCUCAACCGGGGAAAUGCGCGUGAUACUGGCGGGCUUGAGAUCGGGAGGGGUGAAUGGAACUCCCGGUGUAGCGGUGAAAUGCGCAGAUAUCGGGAGGAACACCUAUGGCGAAGGCAGCUCGCUGGGACGUUACUGACGCUGAGACGCGAAAGCGUGGGGAGCAAACAGG
rnacentral:rRNA from 1 species